GGUUGCAAUAAAGAGGCCGGUGCGACUGUUUAACAAAAACACAGCUCUAUGCCAACUCGUAAGAGGAUGUAUAUGGAGUGACACGUGACCAAUGCCAAAAGGUCAAUGGGAGAGGUUAGCGCAAGCGAAGCUUCGAUCUGAAGCCCUGGUGAAUGUCGGCCGUAACUAUAACGGUCCUAAGGUAGCGAAAUUCCUUGUCGGGUAAGUUCCGACCUGCACGAAUCGUGUAACGAUGCCAGCACUGUCUCAACGUGGAUCUCGGCGAAGUUGUAAUUCCGGUGAAAAUGCCGGAUACCUGCGGAAGGACGGAAAGACCCCAUGAACCUUUACUGUAAUCUGAUAUUGGUAUUUGAUUGCUCUUGUGUAGCAUAGGUGGGAGGCAGUGAAACCGCUACGCCAGUACCGGUGGAGCCACAGGUGAAAUACCACCCUGGUGUAAUUAGAUAUCUAACGGUGUCCCGUGAAUCCGGGCCCCGGACCGUGUCAGAGGGUCAGUUUGACUGGGGCGGUUUCCUCCUAAAUUGUAACGGAGGAGCCCGAAGGUACACUCAGCACGGUUGGCAAUCGUGUGCAGAGCGUAAGGGUAGAAGUGUGCUUUACUGUAAGACCGACAGGUCGAGCAGUUGCGAAAGCAGGGCCUAGUGAUCCAGCGAUGGAAUGUGGAAUCGUCGUUGCUCAACGGAUAAAAGGUACUCUGGGGAUAACAGGCUGAUAGCGCCCAAGCGUCCAUAGCGACGGCGCUGUUUGGCACCUCGAUGUCGACUCAUCACAUCCUGGGGCUGUAGAAGGUCCCAAGGGUUCGGCUGUUCGCCGAUUAAAGUGGUACGCGAGUUGGGUUCAGAACGUCGUGAGACAGUUCGGUCCUUAUCCUCCGCAGGCGCAGGAUAUUUGAUGGGAUCAUUCCUUAGUACGAGAGGACCGGGAAUGACUGACCUCUGGUGUUCCGGUUGUGGCGUCAGCUGCAUUGCCGGGUAGCUAUGUCGGGAACGGAUAAGCGCUGAAAGCAUCUAAGCGCCAAGCCCACCCAAAGACGAGAUAUCCCUUCCCGCAAGGGACUGAAGGCCGGUCGAAGACUACGACCUUGAUAGGACGGAGAUGUAAGCGCAGUAAUGCGUUCAGUUUACCGUUACUAAU
rnacentral:rRNA from 1 species